UACGGAGGAUGCAAGCGUUAUCCGGAAUGAUUGGGCGUAAAGCGUCCGCAGGUGGCUGUGUAAGUCUGCUGUCAAAGAGCGAAGCUCAACUUCGUAAAGGCAGUGGAAACUACACGGCUAGAGUGCGUUCGGGGCAGAGGGAAUUCCUGAUGUAGCGGUGAAAUGCGUAGAGAUCAGGAAGAACACCGGUGGCGAAGGCGCUCUGCUAGGCCGCAACUGACACUGAGGGACGAAAGCUAGGGGAGCGAAUGGG
rnacentral:rRNA from 1 species